rnacentral:misc_RNA from 1 species
AAUCCUCAAAAGGGAAGCUUGACCGUUUCUCUUUUGGAAUUGGGGUGUGCUGGCCUUUUGUCAAUGAAGCCCAGCUCCUCUAAAAUGCAUUAGCGAUGUGACAUCCGCAUGCACCACGCUUCUCUGGCAUUGAUAGUAUCUUCAUGCUAGGGGCGGGUUUUGCAGCUGUGGAAAGCUUUGCUCGCUCACAACUGAUGGCGUGGAGAGGUGCCUUUGUGCCUCCUCACCUAUCCUCUGACA